rnacentral:lncRNA from 1 species
ACACGCCCGCGGCUGGCACACGCGGGCUCCCCCGCGCACCCUCUCCGGGGCCGACCAGCUCGGGCCGCUGGCACAGUCACGCGCGUCCACACAUCACCCCCGCACCCACACGCCGGGCAGGGUCCUCGCCUCUUCGCCCCGCGCCGCGCCGCGCAGCCAAGCAUCGUCUGCCCUGUGGGGGCGCAGCUCCUGGACUUUUUAAAAUUCCUGGAAUUGUGUCUCUCUAUCAUGGGGCUGGUACUAUUACCAUACGUUUCAGAAAACAGCAUCUGUUUACAAAGCGUUUUAUUAUACAACACAGAAAUACAUUUCACCCCAAAUGAUAACAGUGAACUUCAGCCCCCAGAAUCUCCUUCUCCCCUUCGUGAAACAGAGCUGGGAUGAUGGCAGAGGACUCCAGAACGCACUGAGAUUGUUCCUUGGCGUGACAAAUGGCAAAGGACUCUAGAACGCACAGAGAUUGUUCCUUGGUGUGACGGGCCAGACAGCACACCUUUCUUCAAGCCAUUCUCACAUCAAAUAAAACGUUGAUAAAUCAUUGUUUCUCUAAGCUUGAAAAAUGCUACUAACUCAAGACAAGGUGAAAGUGAGUUUGUUGAAAUCAACGUGAAGGAUCGAGGGUACCAACUUGGAAUGUAAAACCAUAGAAAAUACCAUCUGGGAACACGGAAAUCAUCUGUCUUAUCUGGAAGCCUGUCUCCAGAGUGGCAAACUUAGGGACUGGUUUGAGGACAGAGUGUGCCCUGUGUGCUGGGGAGGGGUGUAAAGGACUGGGAUGGAGGAGGGGGGGCUCCAGAUGUUCUUUUACCCAUAAAUACACUGUACAUCACCGUCUGCCACUGAAGCUUAAGGAUUGAAAACCUUGGGGAUGUUUCACUGGUUUUGCUUCCGCCUCUGCAAUGUUUGAACUUGCAUUUUCUGAGCCACGUAUGCAACUAAAAGCCUUACAUGCAUUACCCACC